GACGAACGCUGGCGGCGUGCUUAACACAUGCAAGUCGAACGGAAAGGCCCUGCUUUUGUGGGUGCUCGAGUGGCGAACGGGGUAGUAACACGUGAGUAACCUUCCCUUGACUUUGGGAUAACUUUAGGAAACUUGGGCUAAUACCGGAUAGGAGCUCCUGCUUCAUGGUGGGGGUUGGAAAGUUUCGGCGGUUGGGGAUGGACUCGCGGCUUAUCAGCUUGUUGGUGGGGUAGUGGCUUACCAAGGCUUUGACGGGUAGCCGGCCUGAGAGGGUGACCGGCCACAUUGGGACUGAGAUACGGCCCAGACUCCUACGGGAGGCAGCAGUGGGGAAUAUUGCACAAUGGGCGGAAGCCUGAUGCAGCAACGCCGCGUGCGGGAUGACGGCCUUCGGGUUGUAAACCGCUUUCGCCUGUGACGAAGCGUGAGUGACGGUAAUGGGUAAAGAAGCACCGGCUAACUACGUG
rnacentral:rRNA from 1 species